GGGCCCGCACAAGCGGUGGAGCAUGUGGUUUAAUUCGACGCAACGCGAAGAACCUUACCAGGGCUUGACAUCAAAUGAAAGGUCUAGAGAUAGACCCCUCUCUUCGGAGACAUGAAGACAGGUGGUGCAUGGUUGUCGUCAGCUCGUGUCGUGAGAUGUUGGGUUAAGUCCCGCAACGAGCGCAACCCCUAUUGUUAGUUGCCAGCAUGUAAAGAUGGGCACUCUAGCGAGACUGCCGUGGACAACACGGAGGAAGGCGGGGAUGACGUCAAAUCAUCAUGCCCCUUAUGUCCUGGGCUACACACGUGCUACAAUGGACGGUACAAAGGGCAGCGAAGCCGCGAGGUGGAGCAAAUCCCAUAAAGCCGUUCUCAGUUCGGAUUGUAGUCUGCAACUCGACUACAUGAAGUCGGAAUCGCUAGUAAUCGCAGGUCAGCACACUGCGGUGAAUACGUUCCCGGGCCUU
rnacentral:rRNA from 1 species